AUUGACGCUGGCGGCAGGCCUAACACAUGCAAGUCGAACGAGUGGCGGACGGGUGAGUAAUGUCUGGGAAACUGCCUGAUGGAGGGGGAUAACUACUGGAAACGGUAGCUAAUACCCAGACCUGAAGGAGGGGAUUGCGUCUGAUUAGCUAGUUGGAGGGGUAACGGCCCACCAAGGCGAUGAUCAGUAGCCGGUCUGAGAGGAUGAACGGCCACACUGGAACUGAGACACGGUCCAGACUCCUACGGGAGGCAGCAGUGGGGAAUAUUGCACAAUGGGCGCAAGCCUGAUGCAGCCAUGCCGCGUGUAUGAAGAAGGCCUUCGGGUUGUAAAGUACUUUCAGCGGGGAGGCGUUACCCGCAGAAGAAGCACCGGCUAACUCCGUGCCAGCAGCCGCGGUAAUUC
rnacentral:rRNA from 1 species